UAAUGGUUUGAGGUUUUGCCCAAGUCUUGUUAGGUAGGAAGUCUCAAGUUCUUAACUUAACCAGGGGUUGAAACAAGCUAGGCCAAGGAGUAAACAGUCUUCACCACAGCCAGGCCGGGCCAGUCUCAAGCUUGGCACACGAGGUAAAGGUCUCACUUAUUGAUGUUCUGUUCUAAUCAAGGCCUGAGGACUCUGCGUAAGCUGCCUAUAUACAUGUAUGGAAGAUCAGAAUCACAGCUGGGUAAGAGGGAGAGGAUGGAGAGUACAAAACUUUCCUUAUAUAACAAAGAAAAAAAAAAUUCCAUAACUUAAAUAAGAGCUGAAAAGAAACAAAAAACAGCAAAACUCAAUCAGCUCAUAGAUGCACCCACCCUACUACUUGCCUCGUGAAAUUUGCAAUGCUUAU